rnacentral:rRNA from 1 species
UUAAGCGACUAAGCGUACACGGUGGAUGCCCUGGCAGUCAGAGGCGAUGAAGGACGUGCUAAUCUGCGAAAAGCGUCGGUAAGGUGAUAUGAACCGUUAUAGCCGGCGAUGUCCGAAUGGGGAAACCCAGUGCAAUUCGUUGCACUAUCGUUAACUGAAUACAUAGGUUAACGAGGCGAACCGGGGGAACUGAAACAUCUAAGUACCCCGAGGAAAAGAAAUCAACCGAGAUUCCCCCAGUAGCGGCGAGCGAACGGGGAGCAGCCCAGAGUCUGAAUCAGCUUGUGUGUUAGUGGAACGGUCUGGAAAGUCCGACGGUACAGGGUGAUAGUCCCGUACACCAAAAUGCACAGGCUGUGAACUCGAAGAGUAGGGCGGGACACGUGGUAUCCUGUCUGAAUAUGGGGGGACCAUCCUCCAAGGCUAAAUACUCCUGACUGACCGAUAGUGAACCAGUACCGUGAGGGAAAGGCGAAAAGAACCCCGGCGAGGGGAGUGAAAAAGAACCUGAAACCGUGUACGUACAAGCAGUGGGAGCACCUUCGGGUGUGACUGCGUACCUUUUGUAUAAUGGGUCAGCGACUUAUAUUCUGUAGCAAGGUUAACCGUAUAGGGGAGCCGCAGGGAAACCGAGUCUUAACUGGGCGUUAAGUUGCAGGGUAUAGACCCGAAACCCGGUGAUCUAGCCAUGGGCAGGUUGAAGGUUGGGUAACACUAACUGGAGGACCGAACCGACUAAUGUUGAAAAAUUAGCGGAUGACUUGUGGCUGGGGGUGAAAGGCCAAUCAAACCGGGAGAUAGCUGGUUCUCCCCGAAAGCUAUUUAGGUAGCGCCUCGUGAACUCAUCUUCGGGGGUAGAGCACUGUUUCGGCUAGGGGGUCAUCCCGACUUACCAACCCGAUGCAAACUACGAAUACCGAAGAAUGUUAUCACGGGAGACACACGGCGGGUGCUAACGUCCGUCGUGAAGAGGGAAACAACCCAGACCGCCAGCUAAGGUCCCAAAGUCAUGGUUAAGUGGGAAACGAUGUGGGAAGGCACAGACAGCCAGGAUGUUGGCUUAGAAGCAGCCAUCAUUUAAAGAAAGCGUAAUAGCUCACUGGUCGAGUCGGCCUGCGCGGAAGAUGUAACGGGGCUAAACCAUGCACCGAAGCUGCGGCAGCGACACUAUGUGUUGUUGGGUAGGGGAGCGUUCUGUAAGCCUGCGAAGGUGACCUGUGAGGGUUGCUGGAGGUAUCAGAAGUGCGAAUGCUGACAUAAGUAACGAUAAAGCGGGUGAAAAGCCCGCUCGCCGGAAGACCAAGGGUUCCUGUCCAACGUUAAUCGGGGCAGGGUGAGUCGACCCCUAAGGCGAGGCCGAAAGGCGUAGUCGAUGGGAAACAGGUUAAUAUUCCUGUACUUGGUGUUACUGCGAAGGGGGGACGGAGAAGGCUAUGUUAGCCGGGCGACGGUUGUCCCGGUUUAAGCAUGUAGGCUGGUUAUCCAGGCAAAUCCGGAUAAUCAAGGCUGAGGUGUGAUGACGAGGCACUACGGUGCUGAAGUAACAAAUGCCCUGCUUCCAGGAAAAGCCUCUAAGCAUCAGGUAACAUCAAAUCGUACCCCAAACCGACACAGGUGGUCAGGUAGAGAAUACCAAGGCGCUUGAGAGAACUCGGGUGAAGGAACUAGGCAAAAUGGUGCCGUAACUUCGGGAGAAGGCACGCUGGUGUGUAGGUGAAGCCCCUGCGGGUGGAGCUGAGACCAGUCGAAGAUACCAGCUGGCUGCAACUGUUUAUUAAAAACACAGCACUGUGCAAACACGAAAGUGGACGUAUACGGUGUGACGCCUGCCCGGUGCCGGAAGGUUAAUUGAUGGGGUUAUCCGUAAGGAGAAGCUCUUGAUCGAAGCCCCGGUAAACGGCGGCCGUAACUAUAACGGUCCUAAGGUAGCGAAAUUCCUUGUCGGGUAAGUUCCGACCUGCACGAAUGGCGUAAUGAUGGCCAGGCUGUCUCCACCCGAGACUCAGUGAAAUUGAACUCGCUGUGAAGAUGCAGUGUACCCGCGGCAAGACGGAAAGACCCCGUGAACCUUUACUAUAGCUUGACACUGAACAUUGAGCCUUGAUGUGUAGGAUAGGUGGGAGGCUUUGAAGCGUGGACGCCAGUCUGCGUGGAGCCAACCUUGAAAUACCACCCUUUAAUGUUUGAUGUUCUAACGUUGGCCCCUGACCGGGGUUGCGGACAGUGUCUGGUGGGUAGUUUGACUGGGGCGGUCUCCUCCCAAAGCGUAACGGAGGAGCACGAAGGUUAGCUAAUCCUGGUCGGACAUCAGGAGGUUAGUGCAAUGGCAUAAGCUAGCUUGACUGCGAGCGUGACGGCGCGAGCAGGUGCGAAAGCAGGUCAUAGUGAUCCGGUGGUUCUGAAUGGAAGGGCCAUCGCUCAACGGAUAAAAGGUACUCCGGGGAUAACAGGCUGAUACCGCCCAAGAGUUCAUAUCGACGGCGGUGUUUGGCACCUCGAUGUCGGCUCAUCACAUCCUGGGGCUGAAGUAGGUCCCAAGGGUAUGGCUGUUCGCCAUUUAAAGUGGUACGCGAGCUGGGUUUAGAACGUCGUGAGACAGUUCGGUCCCUAUCUGCCGUGGGCGCUGGAGAAUUGAGGGGGGCUGCUCCUAGUACGAGAGGACCGGAGUGGACGCAUCACUGGUGUUCGGGUUGUCAUGCCAAUGGCACUGCCCGGUAGCUAAAUGCGGAAGAGAUAAGUGCUGAAAGCAUCUAAGCACGAAACUUGCCCCGAGAUGAGUUCUCCCUGAGACUUUAAGUCUCCUGAAGGAACGUUGAAGACGACGACGUUGAUAGGCCGGGUGUGUAAGCGCAGCGAUGCGUUGAGCUAACCGGUACUAAUGAACCGUGAGGCUUAACCUU